GAACCCACGCCAACCCAAGCGACGGUGCAGCAGUGCCUGAAGAGAACCGAGAUCCAAGCAUUCAUUAUGGAGGCUCGAUUGAGGAAGGCAAUGACAACACAGUGUACUAUUAAGAGGACAGCACACGCACCAGCACAUACCUCCUUCUUCCUGUGCAGCAAAUUCCUCUGCACAGAUGUUGGAGGGUGUCCAUGGAGACUGCAUCUCAGGGGCUGCUGAACACAGCCCUCUUUACCUCCAAUAUCGCAAUGCUGAAAUAUGUGAUAGAGCAGGGGUGGCCAACCCGCGGUUUCGUUUUGUGUGCUGUGACUGCAGGAUAAUUAUUUUAAUAUGCCUGUACUUCAACAACAUAUUUAAAACAACAACAGCCAGGUUUUGGAAAGGUGUACAUGACGAGGAAGAACUGUGGCAUGGAUAACAACAAGACAUACGCAAUGAAAAUCAUGGACGUCCCCGUUGAAGGCGACUGAGACAAAUACCAAACAGAGUGCUACGUCCAUCAACUCUGCUGCCAAUUUCCAUUUUUGGUAGCACUCUGUUACACCUUCCAGACAAAGUCCAAGAUGUGUCUCGCACUUGGUGAGUACAUAAAAAACAAUUCCUGAUUCCAGGAUGGUUGAGAAGCAAAGUGAACAAUUUAACAACAGAAGUGUCAGUGCGUUGUAGUGCCAAG